CCAAUAGCGUAUAUUAAAGUUGUUGCAGUUAAAAAGCUCGUAGUUGAAUUUCGGGAUUAGUACGCUGGUCGUGCCUUCGGUAUGUACUGGUGUUACUGGUUCCUACCUUCUGACGAACCGUCAUGUCAUUAAUUUGGUGUGGCGGGAAAUCAGGACUGUUACUUUGAAAAAAUUAGAGUGUUUAAAGCAGGCUCGCGCUUGAAUACAUUAGCAUGGAAUAAUGAAAUAGGACGUUCGAUCCUAUUUUGUUGGUUUCUAGGAUUGACGUAAUGAUUAAUAGGGAUAGUUGGGGGCAUUAGUAUUCAAUUGUCAGAGGUGAAAUUCUUGGAUUUAUUGAAGACUAACUACUGCAAAAGCAUUUGCCAAGGAUGUUUUCAUUAAUCAAGAACGAAAGUUAGGGGAUCGAAGACGAACAGAUACCGUCGUAGUCUUAACCAUAAACUAUGGCGACUAGGGAUCGGAUGAUGUUAUUUUUAAUGACUCAUUCGGCGCCUUACG
rnacentral:misc_RNA from 1 species